AACACCAUCCCCAAAAACCCUAGCUCUCACUCAUACGUUUUGGAAAUCGCCUCCACAAUUCUAAGAUGGAUGAGCAUGUCGAUGAUACGCAUAAAGAUCAACAGGAGACUCACCAUCCCCAAAAAGAGCAAAAACCCUAGCUCUCACUUAUCCACCGACAUAAUACAGAGAGUGGAAGCGGUGUUGGGCCAAAAAGAAGGAGCGCCAUCCGCGCUUAUCUCAAAAUGGUGCAAGGUCGACGCUAUCUGUCCUCGAACGUCGAGUUUAGGGAUAAUCAUGCUUUGACGGCUAAUUCAAUGUUCCUGAAAAAUGAUCUGAGGGUGGAGAGGAGAGUUUUAAAUUGUGGAGUCAAAAAAUCAGCCAGCUUCUGUAUUAGGGCCGCGAUGAUUUUAGGAGCACGGGACGUUUCGAUUUUCAUGGGGCCUAACGGCACACACAAGUUUGCAGUUCUGCAUGGGUCGCCUGGGCUCUUGACCCUCUGCGUUGUUGGUUGCGCAAUGGAUUUUCGUGCUGAGCUAACCUAAAGAGGAGCCCCAUGAGCAGGACACGAUGUCUGGUAGAGUAUUGUUUCAAUGCAAAAACAAUUUAAAGUCUUUGGCCUUCAUAAACAAUCUAGAAAGAGGUAAUCAACUUACUUUCAUAGAAAGUAUGAGAUGGGAUCAAAACCAAUCAGCAUUAAUGGAUAUUGAUCAUCUCACCAUGUAUUCCCACCUUAUAGGCUUCAAAGGUGUAGAAUUUGUGUUAAUCGCUUCAUAGGACGUAAAAAGCACAUCAAAUUUUAUUCUAUCGUGUUUACAAAUUGACUGACCACUUCUCUUUUUUAUGUGAGACGACCAAAAUGCAAGAGAUGUACGCUGAAAAAAAAACAUGAUAUUCAGGCACCAACUCCUGUCAUUCAUCCAAUAAAACAAGAGAAAACCAGAGUGAGAAGCUGUCAAUGAUGGAGCAAUUGGGGAGAAGACAUGGUGUAAAGCCAUUAAUUGGAAAGGAACCAAGAACAUGGGAGGUUAGACAAAAAACCUACCAUACGCAAUGGAGGUGGGACCGUCCUUUUCAUUUUACUAAAUAAUGUUUCAUCAUAACUUGAUUAGAUCCGAGCUCGGAUGCAUCACUGUCACUGACAGUGCUUUGGUGCAUCUCAGAGUCGAGUAUCUUAUCAAGUUCAUUCGGAUGGCCCGCCCACCAUGAUGAGACAGUUCAAAAGCGAGCUUCUUGUAUAUGAGUGUUACAUAAACAAUGAACUCUCAAAAUGAAAAACGUUGAGCUGAGCAUGGGAAAGAAAUCCAAACCUCUAAUUCCCGCAGUCGCGGCGCCAUAGACCGAACUUCCGGAUGAUUUGUUGAUGUAUAUCAUGCAAAGGUUGCACAAUUAGGAUUGCAUUCAAUAGUAAUAGUACGUAUGUAGACAAGAUUGACGACAUAAUAAUUUGCAUUGGCUGAAAUUACAAUUAGUGGAAAA